UGGUCCUCUAAAAUGGAGGGGUACUAUGUACAACAAAAUGCUAUAAUUUCUAAAUGGUUCGCCCGCUUUGGAUGAAGAUUACCUUCAAAUUAAAGCUGACAGUCAGCACUUUAACCCCAUAGUCAUUGUUUGAUUUCAAAUCCAAAGUGCUGGAGUACAGAGCCAAAACAACAAAUAUUUUUUUUAUUUAUUUAACCUUUAUUUAACUACGCAAGUCAGUUAAGAACAAAUUCUUAUUUACAUAUAAUGUGUCACUGUCCCAAUACUUUUGGUGCUCACUGUAUAUAAACACACAAAAACACACACAGAAGCACUGACGAAAUGAAGUGAGUAACACACGGACACACACAUAUUUGGUCUUGAUACAAAAAUUGGAAAUAACAUUGGUACAGCCCAUCACCACCUUCUAGUGGUAAACUACAUCUAAAACAGUAACUAUCAUAGAGAAUGAUAGAGGCCUCUGGUGGUAAACUACAUCUAAAACAGAACCCAAUUAGUUCACCACCAUAGAGAAUGAUAGAGGCCUCUGGUGGUAAACUACAUCUAAAACAGAACCCAAUUAGUUCACCACCAUAGAGAAUGAUAGAGGCCUCUGGUGGUAAACUACAUCUAAAACAGAACCCAAUUAGUUCACCACCAUAGAGAAUGAUAGAGGCCUCUAGUGGCCAAAAGGCCGUUUUAACAUAGACAGUGCCAUUGAGGGCUUACGCCAUUUUAAAGUAGUCAAAGUAGUCAACUGGGUGGGGAUUCCUAUGAGUUGUAGCCUCAAUGGUGCUGCCCAUGCUGUUACAGACGGUAUAAUGGCACAGAUAGUUUUAUGUGCAAUACAUACUGUAGGGAAUAGGGUGCCAUGUCGGACACAGCCCCAGUUUUUAUGUGGGUGACCCUACUAAACUCUCAUUAGUCACUAGGACUCUACUGUAACUCUCGUUGGUCACCGGCCUGUUUGACAGCCAUCGGAUAGAAAGGAGUUGGUAACCAGGGUAACGUACACUCGCGGCCACCAGGUGGUGCAGCUGGUCUAAAGUAUAAUCUCCUCUGGCCUUCUCUUUGUGUACAGUCUGAGUAGGACCAGGAGGUAUCCCUGUCUUUAAUGUCUGGGUAGGACCAGGAGGUUUUCCUGACUAUAAUGUCUGGGUAGGACCAGGAGGUUUUCCUGUCUAUAAUGUCUGGGUAGGACCAGGAGGUUUUCUUAUCUGACCAGGGGAAACUCUAGGCCCUCCAGGUUACACUAGUAGUGACUAUCCUAUAGCUGAACCAGUCCCCCC
rnacentral:lncRNA from 1 species